rnacentral:rRNA from 1 species
UACGGAGGGUGCAAGCGUUAUCCGGAUUCACUGGGUUUAAAGGGUGCGUAGGUGGAUUGGCAAGUCCGUGGUGAAAUCCCCGAGCUUAACUUGGGAACUGCCAUGGAUACUAUUAAUCUUGAAUGUCGUGGAGAUGAGCGGAAUAUGUCAUGUAGCGGUGAAAUGCUUAGAUAUGACAUAGAACACCAAUUGCGAAGGCAGCUCGUUACGCGAAUAUUGACACUGAUGCACGAAAGCGUGGGGAUCAAACAGG